GGAGAUUUGCUAAUAUUCAAGCAGUCUAUCGGUUUUUGACUGUUGGAAUCUAAACAACUGUAAAAAUAUACCGUAAAUCUAUAUAGAUGUCCUUCAAUUGCUCACCAAAAUCCUUUUUGCCCCAGCCGGUAGGUCUCUAGAUGUUAUAGAGAACCCCAAACAACCCAAACUGCUAAUCUUCGAUACCGCUUUAUACUCACGAUCUUGUAUCCACUGACUAUCUUGUUAGAUUAACCCAAUAAAUUUCAUUCACU
rnacentral:lncRNA from 1 species